rnacentral:lncRNA from 1 species
CGCUGGACUCGCGGUGGGUUUGCACUGUGGCAGAGGGCUUCGCGGGGCGCAGGUGGGGACCUUACCAAAGUGCAUUUCAUAAGCGGGUUCUCCUUAAAGUGGCACGUUGUCCCUCCAAAGAAGCAGCGCCCUAAACCCGCCGUCACCGGCGACACAUUUCCCACAGGUGGCUGGUCCUACACGUAAACUCAGGGAAAUCACACUGUUUACCAACUCGUGUUGGUUAUUGCCAUCGAAGGCAGCGUCAGUAGUUGCUCCUCUGUGCCGCUGAAUACUGUUUUUGCAGCUAUUUCCCUGAGGUUGGACAUUUUGGUCGUAUGGUUUUUAUGAAUAUACAACUGGAGAAAGAGCAUAUUUGCAUGAACUCACUAUCCAUGUUUCCUUAACGGGCGCACAAAGGAGGAGGCGCGGUCACAUUACGAGGAUGACAUCGUGGAUACUGGAUAGGUCUGGAUAGAAAAGACAGUACAGUGCACACCCUGGGUGAGACCCAGGCCGUGCUAACAUUGCGUACUGCCCUCUCUGUCCACUUGCUGAUGGAAACGGCCACCUGUUGUUUUCAGAGCCCAUGUAAAAUAAGGUGGUCAGAAAUGAGCCCUGCGCAUAACUGGGGAAGCCUGUCUAGGCCUGGGAACAGCGAGAGAAAAGGCAGGUCCGAGGCCGGUGUGUUCUCAGCCCCUGUAGCUUUCUAAUCCAUGCUAUGGAAAUUACAUACCCUAAGCAAAAUACAAGAGCGAUUACUGAAAAAGUCAAUACCUGGAGGAGUUGACUUUCAUACAGUCACCUAAGGAUAAGUAUUGGCCCUGCCCUGCCCUGCCCCUGAAAGAUUGGAAAUCAGUUGCCCUGCAAGUUCCUACAAUGUUCAACUAGUAAGACACCAGCCCUUCCCUGUUGGACUCUGCCUUUCUGUAUUAUCUUCCCAUGUCCCCGUGAAUCCUGCUUCCCCAUUGCAGCACACUUGGCUUCUGUUUCUCAAUUUCUAAAAUGCCCAGCACUUUAUUUCUUGAGUUCUUUGCUUGUUACAGUCUCAUUUUUGUUGGUAAAAAUAUCCGUUUUCUAGCCAGGCGCAGUGGCACAUGCCUGUAAUCCCAGUGGCUCAGGGGACUGACGCAGGAGGAUUGCAAGUUCAAAGCCAGCCUCAGAAAAAGCAAGGUGCUAAGCAACUCAAUGAAACCUUGUCUCUAAAUAAAAUACAAAAUAGGGUUGGGAAUAUGGCUCAGUGGUCAAGUGUCCCUGAGUUCAGUCCCCAGUAACCACCAUCCCACCAAAAAAAAUCUUUUGUUCUCUAUUUCUGUUGUUCAUUAUGUGAGGAAGUUUGACUUCUGAGUUAUUUAAAUCCUUGGGGUACCAUGGCAGGAAAAGCACAUGCUGACCAUUCUUUACUACCCGUUUCUGAUUUCCACUGGGUGUUUGGUUACACUGUUGAAAGAUAAUUUUCAGCAAAAGAUAAAAUCUAUGACUUUUCCAUACAGCUAUAAAAGGCAGCACAGGUGAAGAUUGUAUUUUAUUCAUUAUUCACUAAAGAGGGAAACAGGUAGAUGUCUUAACUAGUUCAAGAAAGAAGUCAAGAAGUGCAAAUGUAUGUGGAUCAGGGAUGCCCCAGGGAGGUACAGG